rnacentral:rRNA from 1 species
UACGUAGGGACCAAGCGUUGUUCGGAUUUACUGGGCGUAAAGGGCGCGUAGGCGGCUUAACAAGUCACUUGUGAAAUCUCCGGGCUUAACUCGGAACGGCCAAGUGAAACUGUCAAGCUAGAGUGCAGAAGGGGCAAUCGGAAUUCUUGGUGUAGCGGUGAAAUGCGUAGAUAUCAAGAGGAACACCUGAGGUGAAGACGGGUUGCUGGGCUGACACUGACGCUGAGGCGCGGAAAGCCAGGGGAGCAAACGGG